rnacentral:misc_RNA from 1 species
UUGCAGCCGCGUUAGGGAUAGCAGUGAAAAUCCCAUUUUAUUUUGAAAAAAAAUUGAAUGGAUUGAAACGAUUAGCCCGGCCUGCU